AUUGAACGCUGGCGGCAGGCUUAACACAUGCAAGUCGAGCGGAGCGAGGGUGCUUGCACCUUAGCUUAGCGGCGGACGGGUGAGUAAUGCUUAGGAAUCUGCCUAUUAGUGGGCGACAACAUUCCGAAAGGAAUGCUAAUACCGCAUACGCCCUACGGGGGAAAGCAGGGGAUCUUUGGACCUUGCGCUAAUAGAUGAGCCUAAGUCGGAUUAGCUAGUUGGGGGGGUAAAGGCCGACGAAGGCGACGAAGUGUAGCGGGUCUGAGAGGAUGAUCCGCCCGCCUGGGACUAAGACACGGCCCAGACUCCUACGGGAGCCAUCAGUGGGGAAUAUUGGAAAAUGGGCGGAAGCCUGAUCUAGCCAUGCCGCGUGUGUGAAGAAGGCCUUUUGGUUGUAAAGCACUUUAAGCGAGGAGGAGGAGCUCUAGGUUAAUACCCUAGAUGCUUGGACGUUACUCGCAGAAUAAGCACCGGCUAACUCUGUGCCAGCAGCCGCAGUAACAC
rnacentral:rRNA from 1 species